rnacentral:rRNA from 1 species
GAUGAACGCUAGCGGCAGGCUUAAUACAUGCAAGUCGAGGGGCAGCAUGAUUGUAGCAAUACAAUUGAUGGCGACCGGCAAACGGGUGCGGAACACGUACACAACCUUCCAAUAAGUGGGGAAUAGCCCAGAGAAAUUUGGAUUAAUACCCCGUAACCUAACGAUGUGGCAUCACAUUGUUAUUAUAGAUUUUUCGCUUAUUGAUGGGUGUGCGGCUGAUUAGAUAGUUGGCGGGGUAACGGCCCACCAAGUCUACGAUCAGUAGCUGAUGUGAGAGCAUGAUCAGCCACACGGGCACUGAGACACGGGCCCGACUCCUACGGGAGGCAGCAGUAAGGAAUAUUGGACAAUGGACGCAAGUCUGAUCCAGCCAUGCCGCGUGAAGGAUUAAGGUCCUCUGGAUUGUAAACUUCUUUUAUAAGGGACGAAAAAAGGCUUUUCUAAGUCGUCUGACGGUACCUUAUGAAUAAGCACCGGCUAACUCCGUGCCAGCCGCCGCCUAACAC